GGGGCUACAUCAGAGCAGCAAAGUCACUGUUUCCCCUUUCCUCGUGGAAGUUUCACUGGAGUCGUGUUGGGCAUCGGAAGGGGAGGAUUUACAGAGGGGGAUCUUCAAACCAAACAUCACUUCAAGAUCUGACAGUAUCACUCGAUUCAUCAGAACCUGAAUAUCAUCGGCCUUUGAAUGUGGAAGGAGAAAUGUUUGUCUAUCCUAUCUGCGGGAAAAGAUUUCAAACAUCAGAGUGACUGGAAAAGCACCGAGGCACACACACACCCGAGUGAGAGUGUUCCAGUGCACUGACUGUGGAAAGAGCUUUAACCAGUUACACAGCCUGAAAUAAAAUCACACCUUUCACAUUGGGGAGAAACUGUACACGUGUUCUCUGUGUGGACGAGGCUUCAACUGAACAUCAAACUUGGAGAGACACAGGGACACCUGCACCAUGGAGAAACCAUGGAAAUGUGGGGAUUGUGGGAAAGGAUUCAAUUAUCUAUCCAAACUGGAAAUCCAUCGAAGUGGUCACACUGGGGAGAGGCCAUUCACCUGCUCCGAGUGUGGGAAGGCAUUCACUCAGUCAUCUACCCUGCUGACACACCAGCAAAUUCACACUGGAUAGAGACCAUUCUCCUGUUCCGAGUGUGGGAAGGGAUUCAUUCAAUCAUCAAACCUGCUGACACACCAGCAAGUUCACAGUGGAGAGAGACCAUUUACCUGCAUGGUGUGUGGGAAAGGAUUCACUGCAUCCCCUGACCUGCUGAUGCACCAGCGAGUUCACACUGGAGAGAGGCCAUUCUGCUGCACCUACUGUGUAAAGAGAUUCAGCCUUCAUUCCACCUCAGUGUACACCAGUGAAUUCAUAUUGGAGAGAGAGCGUUCACCUGCUCCAAGUGUGGAAAAGGAUUCACUCAUUUACCCAACCUGUUGAGACACUAGCGAGUUCACACUGGGGAGAUGCUGUUCACCUUCUCCGAAUGUGGGAAGGGAUUCGCUUGGUCAUCCCACCUGCUCAGACAGCAGUGAGUUCACAAGUGACCGCAGGGGUUGGAUUCUGCUGUUAUUGCUGCUGUUAAUCACUUACAGAACUGAACCAUGUUCAUUCUGAUGGUUGUGGUUUGUUUCUAUUGAUGUUCAUAAUCCCUGUCACUGGGCUGAAGUUUAAUAUCUUGAUAUCUGUUCAAUAAAUCAGCUUUGUUUCAAA